AUUGAACGCUGGCGGCAUGCUUUACACAUGCAAGUCGAACGGUAACAGGCCGCAAGGUGCUGACGAGUGGCGAACGGGUGAGUAAUGCAUCGGAACGUGCCCAGUCGCGGGGGAUAACUACUCGCAAGAGUAGCUAAUACCGCAUACGAUCUAUGGAUGAAAGCGGGGGACCGUAAGGCCUCGCGCGAUUGGAGCGGCCGAUGUCAGAUUAGGUAGUUGGUGGGGUAAAGGCUCACCAAGCCAACGAUCUGUAGCUGGUCUGAGAGGACGACCAGCCACACUGGGACUGAGACACGGCCCAGACUCCUACGGGAGGCAGCAGUGGGGAAUUUUGGACAAUGGGCGCAAGCCUGAUCCAGCAAUGCCGCGUGCAGGAAGAAGGCCUUCGGGUUGUAAACUGCUUUUGUACGGAACGAAACGGCUCUGGUUAAUACCCGGGGCUAAUGACGGUACCGUAAGAAUAAGCACCGGCUAACUACGUG
rnacentral:rRNA from 1 species